AGCGAAUAGAUACCCUGGUAGUCCAUGCUGUAAACGAUGGAUGCUAGCUGUGAUGCGUAUCGACCCGCGUCGUAGCGAAGCUAACGCGUUAAGCAUCCCGCCUGUGGAGUACGGCCGCAAGGCUAAAACAUAAAGGAAUUGACGGGGACCCGCACAAGCGGUGGAGCGUGUUGUUUAAUUCGAUGGUAAGCGAAGAACCUUACCCAGGUUUGACAUCCUUGGAAGUUCUGCGAAAGCAGAGUGUGCCUUCGGGAACCAAGUGACAGGUGAUGCAUGGCCGUCUUCAGCUCGUGUCGUGAGACGUUAGGUUAAGUCCUUCAACGAGCGCAACCCUUAUAGUUAGUUGUAUUUUCUAGCUAGACUGCCCUGGUAACAGGGAGGAAGGAGGGGACGAUGUCAGGUCAGUAUCUCCCUUAUAUCUGGGGCUACAAACACGCUACAAUGGCCGGUACAAAGGGAAGCCAACCCGCGAGGGGAGCAAAUCCCAUCAAAGCCGGUCUCAGUUCGGAUUGUA
rnacentral:rRNA from 1 species